UACGAAGGGGGCUAGCGUUGCUCGGAAUGACUGGGCGUAAAGGGCGCGUAGGCGGAUGGUACAGUCAGAUGUGAAAUUCCCGGGCUUAACCUGGGGGCUGCAUUUGAUACGUGUUGUCUAGAGUGAGGAAGAGGGUCGUGGAAUUCCCAGUGUAGAGGUGAAAUUCGUAGAUAUUGGGAAGAACACCGGUGGCGAGGGCGGCGACCUGGUCCUUUACUGACGCUGAGGCGCGAAAGCGUGGGGAGCAAACAGG
rnacentral:rRNA from 1 species